rnacentral:rRNA from 1 species
CCUACGGGAGGCAGCAGUAAGGAAUAUUGGUCAAUGGACGCAAGUCUGAACCAGCCAUGCCGCGUGAAGGAUUAAGGCCCUCUGGGUUGUAAACUUCUUUUAUAGGGGACGAAAAAAGGGCAUUCUUGCUCACUUGACGGUACCCUAGGAAUAAGCACCGGCUAACUCCGUGCCAGCAGCCGCGGUAAUACGGAGGGUGCAAGCGUUAUCCGGAUUUACUGGGUUUAAAGGGUGCGUAGGUGGGUUGGUAAGUCAGUGGUGAAAUCUUCGAGCUUAACUCGGAAACUGCCAUUGAUACUAUCAAUCUUGAAUCAUCUAGAGGUAAGCGGAAUAUGUCAUGUAGCGGUGAAAUGCUUAGAUAUGACAUAGAACACCAAUUGCGAAGGCAGCUUACUAUGGAUGCAUUGACACUGAGGCACGAAAGCGUGGGGAUCAAACAGGAUUAGAUACCCUGGUAGUCCACGCCCUAAACGAUGGAUACUCGACAUUUGUGAUAUACAAUAAGUGUNUGAGNGAAGANAUAGUAUCCACCGNGGUAAGUACGACCGCGAGUAGUUAAAGUUAAAGUAAGUUAGACGGCGUGAGACGNGCCGACGGACGACGACGAGGGAGGAGG